rnacentral:snRNA from 1 species
CAAAUACUAAAACUGGAAGGAUACAGAGAAGAUUAGCAUGACCCCUGCACAAGGAUGACAUGCAAAUUUGCAAAGCAUUUCAUAAAUUU